rnacentral:rRNA from 1 species
UACAGAGGUCUCAAGCGUUGUUCGGAUUCAUUGGGCGUAAAGGGUGCGUAGGCGGCGCGGUAAGUCGGGUGUGAAAUCUUGGAGCUUAACUCCGAAACUGCAUUCGAUACUGCCGUGCUUGAGGACUGGAGAGGAGACUGGAAUUUACGGUGUAGCGGUGAAAUGCGUAGAUAUCGUAAGGAAGACCAGUGGCGAGGGCGG